UUUGGGAAUUCACAUUCAGUUUGUUCAUUUCUUUGAUAUAUGAUCUGUAAGUUAACAUGUCUCCUCGAUUUCUCUUUUAGAACCAAGAGGUGGUAACCGUUUUUUUAAAUAUGUAUUAUAUAUUAUUAAGAGAUCUGUGGCGAUGCCGUUGUUUGGAAUGAGUAGCAGAGUAUGGAUGCAAGACAGCCCAACAAAGUUCAGGCUCGAAAGUUUUUUGGAUCGAAGAGCUCAAAAGAUACACCCACCCACCUAGAGACCCAUUGAAGGCAACAAGGGCGAAGCUUAAGAGGGGCCGGGAGGGGCGCCCGACCCCUCGAACUUUUCGCUCAGUAGUGUUAUAUAUGUAGUUUUCGUAUAGAAAUUUUUGGGUAUAUAGGUUUUCGACCCCCCAGUUCUAUAGAAUUUUUUAGGUGUAUACGUUUUCGACCCCCAGUUCUAUAUAAAAAAUCGUUAUUUUUUGUUCUUUUUAGUUCAUAUAGUUUUUAAAUUAUAUAUAAAUGGUCUGUAAUUUCGGCAGCUAUUGACGUCCUUUGUGGCUUUCUUUUUGACUUUGCAUCAACAAGGUAAUAAACCUCUUCUCAAAAAAACAGUUCACUUUUUUUACUUUUCAGCAUUCCUUAAGUAAAAAAGCUGUAAAACAAAACAAAACAAACCCUUUGUCCUUACUUUGACCUAUAUGUUUGACCUUAUCAAAGGUCUUCUCUCUCCAUUUGACCUUACACAUAAAUGGAUCCUUACUUUCUGCAACAUAAUACUUUUUAGACAGUUUUGAAAUUGAUAAUGUUGGUCAACUAUAAAGACAGAUUAUACAUUUCAAAUUUUUUCACUUUUUAGUUAUCUAACUACCUAACCAAGAAACUUAACCUUUUCUGUAUACUUUCCUAUACCCUCAAAUAGAUUUGUUGGUUUGUUUCAUCACCAACUAUUUAUAAAGAGUACCACCACUCUCAUAUUUCAACAUCCAGAAUUACAUUCUUGCAUUUUACCAUUCAAACUCUCAACUCAUGGAGCACGGUAACAUCACCUAUCAACUGAUCAAGGCUAGAGCCCCGGCUCCUGCAACCUAUUGUUUCUCUUCCUGGCGGACUGUAUCAAGAGUUACAAGACGACAUGGCCUCAAAGUUGUUAUUCUAGAGUUACAACACUAGAUGGCUUCAAAGUUGUUAUUCUAGAUAGUGAUGGUAAUCUUUCAAAUACAACAUCAAAUGUUGUAUACAAAGAUGUUUUUAGAAAUUUGUAACGUAUUUUUAUAUAUAUUUUUUUACAUCUUUCAUGUUAAAUUACUUAGUUUGUUAUUAAUUUACUUAUUU
rnacentral:lncRNA from 1 species